AAAUUUAAAUUAUUCUACAUUCUGUUAAAACAGGUAAAGAAGUAAGAAGUAGUGGUGUAGAUGAUUAUAUUGAUCUCUGCUCAGAUUUACGUUUGGUACAAAAUGUCACGAAGACGGACAAGAGUUCCAGUGACUCUAGCGGAACAGGGUCCAUGAUAAAGGGCAGCCGAGGACGAUCAGGGUCCAUUCAUGAGGGCAGCCGAAGUCGAUCAGGGUCCAUGACAGAGGCCAGGCAAAGACGAGCAGGGUCCAUGAUAGAUGACAGCGGAAGACGAUCAGGGUCCAUGAUAGACGUCAGCCGAGGACGUUCAGGGUCCACGAGGUCGUUUAUAGAUUAACUUGAAGGAUUUCAACACAAUCAGAACAUCAAGGAAGCACAACAUAUUCCAUUUCAGAAAAAUCACUUGUAGAUGGAGCUAGAGAUGAUCUUACGAGAUAUUUGAUGUCAAUAAUAUGAACAUUUAUCUCUAAAUUCAUGUAAACGGAACAUAUUCUAAUAAUUAUUUGUUUCAUGUAUUUGUUUGUUUCCAGACUAGUUUAAUUUACUUAAAACGUUAAAACGUUUUGAUGGUUUUUUUUUUAUUCUUUAUUAAAUUGUUUUAAUCUUAGUUUUUUUAAAAUUCUGUUUAGUUUAUACUUUAAUUUUAUUUAUGAGGCUUAAGUAUCAUUAAAUCCAGAUCACUUGAA